rnacentral:rRNA from 1 species
GAUAAACGCUGGCGGCAUGCCUAACACAUGCAAGUCGAACGAAGCCUUCGGGCUUAGUGGCGCACGGGUGCGUAACGCGUGGGAAUCUGCCCUUGGGUUCGGAAUAACAGUUAGAAAUGACUGCUAAUACCGAAUGAUGUCGUAAGACCAAAGAUUUAUCGCCCAGGGAUGAGCCCGCGUAGGAUUAGCUAGUUGGUGUGGUAAAGGCGCACCAAGGCGACGAUCCUUAGCUGGUCUGAGAGGAUGAUCAGCCACACUGGGACUGAGACACGGCCCA